CCAUAACACAGCGCCAUGUUUGCUGCAAGACUAGGACAAAUCGAGUGCAUUGAGGCCCUUAGAUUAAAAACGAAAUAGCCCAGUUUAAGGCAAAAUAUAGAGAAAUAUACUUAUUCUAGGCAAUGUGAGCGAUGCAGUUCCGUUUCAGCGUCGCUUGAAGCCAUCUCAGAUCUAGUUUGAGAGUUCUUCGGGGCAACAGAGGCUCUCCUCGGUUCCCUUUAGCUGUGGAGACCAUGGAGGUGUAUGAGGAGACUGAUCGGAGGAUGACGGAGGAGGUGGAGAGCUGCUACACCCUGAUGGAGGUCACCUCUCCCAAGAAGAGGAAGAAGAACAAGGCUCAGCAGGGGGAGAUCAUGGAGAAACCCAAGAAACCCAGAUCAGCCUACCUGCUGUACUACUUUGAUGUGCACCAGACCAUGCAGCAGGAGUUCCCCAGCCUGCCCCAGUCUGAGAUCAACAAGAGGAUCAGUGUGAGCUGGAAGAGACUCAAUGUGGCAGACAAGGGCUACUACCUGGAGAAGGCCAAGCUGGAGAAGGAAGGGACGGACACUUCAUCUAUGGGCCCUUCCCAGGAGCUCCCAGGCUUCCGUAGGAUCCUCCCCAGGGCAAACUACGUCCUCCUGCCCAAAGGGGCCAUGUCAGACGACAGGACAGGCUCCCAGCUGGAGGUGUGUAUGGAGGGGCUGGACUCUCCCGUGGGGGAAGGGGUGAUGCCCUCCCUGUCCCUUGGUUCCCCCCAGUACCCUCCCUUGGUGCUGGGCUGCGAGGUGGAGCUGUCGCAGCAGUGCAUCGCCAUCGAGGGCCUGACAGACGAAAAGGCUGUGACCCUGACACACUCCGGGGCCCUGCAGGGGGUCCUCUCCUCAUCUUAUCACUCCUCUUCCUCAGUCUCUGCCGCCCACGAAUCCCACAAUGCACCUCACCUGGCGUCAGCCGGUCUGCUGCUCAAGGAGGAGGAGCCCAGGAUGGUGGGCGGGGGCUAUAGUGUCAUUGGAAUGGCGACUGACGGGAGGCGUGUGGGCGGAACGUCGGUGCAGCACGUGAAAACAGAGCUGGUCACCAUCAUACCCAAUCAGGAUCUGAUGGAGCACAGGACGUUGCCAGGAGCCAGCUCUGUAGCCUCUGUUGUCAUGGUACCUGUAGGAGCUAGGGUGAUACGGGACACUAAUCCCUCAUACAAACUGUCGAAUAAAUACACCAGAAGAGGCCGGGGCAGCUGUCAGACAGCGGGCUGCUCCUUUGUCUACGUGACCCGUCAUAAACCACCCUUCUGCCCUGACUGUGGAAACCACCUGGGGGGCAAGUGGGUGCCCGCUACGGUGAAGACUCCAGGUGCUGCUGCUUCAUUCAAGACUUAUGCCCAGAAACCACCCAAAAACCCUGGGUACCCCCCUAAGACUGGUGUGCCUCCCUCUGAUGAUCAGAACAGUAAGGUGUCUGGAUGGAGGAAGGGAGGGAGAGGACCGCGGGAGCCCAGAGGACAAGUGCAGCAGCGUGCAGUUACACCAGGACCACCACUAGAGGGAGGCAGAACCAACAGCCAGGGAGUCAUACAGCCUGCUCCAGCGGUGUCAGGGACACAGACAACUACUAUGAUAGCUUUGGUUGGAACACCUGUGACUGGUGCCAGGGUCAAAGUACAGGAAAGGAGCAGUGUGGUUGGUCAAAAGCGACCUGUGAGAGCCAUCCUCCCAGCCCCAUUCAACACAGGCCGGGCCGUAGUCCAGUGGAUUACUGUCCCUCCUCAUAAAGGCAAAGUUGGGGAGACCAACUGCAGCAAAUCAACCACAGAGCUCAGUGAGAUGAUCGCAGGUUUGAAGCCUAACACUCUGAAACAGCUCGGCCAGAUCGUGACAACACCACCUCUGGAACAGACUCUCCCUACUCCUGUGGACAGAAGCCAGUAUAUUGUAACUGAUAAAGUAGGGAAGAUCCUCUCAGUGGUUCCUCUCAAACAGAACUCUACCUCCACACUGGACCUGGGUCUGUCUACGGCGCGGGGCAGGGGUCGCUGUAAGAACCCGUCAUGUGGCUAUGUUUAUAAGAACAGACACAAGCCUGCGGAGUGCCCCUGCUGUGGCUUGGAGCUGUCCAGGAAGAACGCCAAGGGCUCCAAGGCACAGGGUGGUUCAGUAGCUCUGUUAGACCCGUACCGGACCCUGUCCCCAGCCCAGAGGGAGCUUCAGCGCCAGUCCACCCUGCAGCUGCUGCGCCAGGUCCUGCAGAUCUCUGAGAGUGAGGCUGAGCUCCAUGACACCCUGGCCCUCAUCCAGGAACUCAACUCUACCCAGGUGGUCCUCACCACGACCACCACCCAGGCCGGGGACCAGGUGUUAGCGGAAGGGGAGGGCCUGGGGGAGGUGCAGGUCCAGUCAGGCUGGCCGCGGUUCUAUGAGUCUGCAGCCACACACUGUGCUCUGUGUCACUACCCGCUAUUCAAGGGAGGACAGAGUUCUUUAGCAGGGCAGGAGGACUGCUGGCUGUUGACUGACUCUCUGAUCCAGACCGCCUCUCUCCAGCUGAAGGUGUGUCUCAACCCCCAGUGUCUGGCCCUGCACAGCUUCACCGACCUCCACCCAGGUCUGUUCAAUGUUGGCAACAGGUUGCUGGUGAGUCUGGACCUGUUCUUUAAGAUCCGGAGUCAGGUCAGACUGGGCCGGCAUCCUAACCAGAUAGUCAGGACCAUCCUGGACCACAUCCACAACCACGCUGUCCACACUCUGAGUCCUGAGGAGUUGGCCCAUGUCCAGGAGCUGCUGGUUAGUGGCUACUGGGCUUUUGAGUGUCUGACCGUGAGGGACUACAAUGACAUGAUCUGUGGUGUGUGUGGCAUCGCCCCCAAGAUGGAGAUCGCGCAGCGGUACACACACAACGUGCUGGAGCUUAGGAAUGUGGAGUUUACGUGGCCAGACUACGGGGCUCCAGACAAGGUGCAUGUGGAUGACUUCUGGCUGACCAUGGAGAGUGAGGCCAUCGAGCAGGCAGCGUUCCCCUGCAGCGUCCCCAUCACCCGGGUCGACGCCUCCAUCAUCGCCCCCUUCAUCCCACCACUAAUGAGGAGCUCCACUGUCAUCAACACAGAGAAGGACAAGGCCCUGCUCCUCACACAGCACACAGGUGACCCAUCAGUUCUGGUGCGUCUGAUCCACGAGGGCCAACUCAGACCGGACCGAAUGGAUGAGCACAGUGCAGAGGAGCUCAAAGCCAUACUGGAAUGCUGUGGCGAGAUCACUGCACCAGAGAGCAACAAGGAUGAGUUGCUGGUCUCUCUGAUCUCCCUGUGUACGUGUGUUCAGAACGGCCUCUCCACGGCCCCCCAGCCCCCUCCACACCUCACAGCAGGCAAGCUGUCCAAGAUCUGCCCCCAUCAGGUGGUGUGUGGUUCCAAGUACCUGGUGAAGGGUGAGACGGCACGUGACCACGUGGACCUGCUGGUGUCCUCCCGGUAUUGGCCUCCCGUCUACGUUACCGACUCUGCCCGCCAGGUGGCGCUGUGUACAGACGUGCAGUACCCUGAGCUGGCCUCCACCAUGUGGGGCAGGAACCAGGGCUGCUUCUCUGAUCCCAUGGACAAACCAGAGUUUGUGUCAUGUGCUGAGCUACAGGACCAGCCUUACUGUGCUGACCUGUCCUCCGUGGUGGAGAACCCCCAGGUCCACCCUGUCACCAAGUCCUCUUCCCGCUGGAUAGUGCAUCCUGCUGGGCCUACAGAUGGCCAGGAGCCCCCCUGUCUGGACCACCACUCAAUGGGGCUCUGCAAUGAGCUGGAACCUUACUGCAGCCUGGUACAAGACCUGGAGAGAGACAACGAGAAAGAAGAGGACGAAGGGAAGGAGGAGAGGAAGGAUGGGUUCAAGGUUGAAGCCGAGGUAACAGAAGGGUCAGACAUCACUGAGGAGGAAUGUUCUGAGGGUUUGGUGACAUCAUUGCGGCGGCGACCUUUGGCCUUUGACAACACGGCCUACUACUACCUGUACAAUCGUCUGCAGGACUUCCUGUCCAGCCGGGAGGUGGUGGACCAGCAGAUCAGCACAGUGCUGAAGGCCUGCCAGCCUGGGGAGGUGGUGAUCAGGGAUGCCCUCUACAGGCUGGGGGUGGCACAGAUCAACACAGAGGACGGGGAGGAGGGGGAAGGAGACGGGGGGUGGAGGGAGACACUGGGUAUGAGGAGGUAGUGGUUCUCUGAGAGUGACAGACUGUGGCUUUUUGGAGACUUAUUUUGUGCUGUGACCCAACAAGUAAACAAACCAAUAUAACUUUCUGACAUUGGGGGAUAAUGUUUAAUAUUAUGGACAUAUGGGCCACAUUAUUAUGAGGUAGUCCUUUUUUUAGAAAGAAGGCAAUAUAUAUUAUAUAUUAUAUAAUAUAUAUAUAUAUAUAUAUGGAGAUAUCUGGUUCAGAAAAGCUAGCGUGUAGUGGGGAGGCUGGUAGUCCUUGAAUGUACUGUGCAAAAAUAUGCUUGAGUGUUUCCAAAGAACAGAGGUGUUGCUGCUAACCAGACAGAUAGUCUGUAACUUAUCAGUCCAGCGGAGACUUUGUUGCUGGUUUGAAAUGAAAGAAUGGCACUUCAUUUUCUUUGUGAGAGAAGCAGAACCAGCGAAGAGUGUAAAAACGUGAAUGUUACUAACUGCUCUCUGCUUUACUUUGAAGGAAAGUUCACAUAGUUUUAGAAUAGAUAACAACGUUUAAAAACAUUGUUUAUGUUGACUAACUUCAUUGUUGGAGUGCAUAAUGUUCUUUCUAGAAGUAUAAUAAUAAUUAUUAUUAUUUAAUAACUGUAUUUAAUGAGUCCUCGUGCUUUCUCAUCUUUAGUAAGACCUUUCACACUGUUCUAUGCUAUCUUCUUGUACCUCAGUUGUCACUCGUUGCCCUUUGGGCUGAAAUGUAUUCAAGGUAAACAACCUUUCACAUCUGCCUCAUGGGCUGAUGGAAUCUGUAGUUCUUGUGGCCUUUGAUUGUGUUUUUGACCACAGGAAACUCUUGCCUGAGCUCCUAUUGGAGGGGUGGCUCUGAAUGUCAGGACUGUUCUGUCAUCUACUCUCAGCUGCUUGAAUGGAAUCUAAAGAAGACAAUGAUUGACUUGAUGAUGUAACUGUGAUGGACAUAGUUAUUACAAUUUGAGGAUGGAACUUGAUACCCACUCAAGGGGGUGGUCUGGUAUUGCUCAACCUCCCAUGAGAACAGGGAAUGAAACCUCAGAAGAUUGCAGAGAAGGCAUUUUCAUUUGAAACGGGAACUGAGGUAAAAAGAUUUUUGUUCACUGUCAUAUGACGUAUUAUGGAGUCGGCUGAAAUGUUGAAACAAGUCCACCGGGAAAUAUAAUGUUGUAUAUCCAAGGGAAGCAAGACGUCUUUAUUUCAGUUUCUUUUUUUUUGCAUAUUGUCUGAAUGUAAUUACACUCCUUCCUUCCGAGACAGUACAGUGAUUUGGUUAGCAAACAACUAAAAGGAUUUAAUGACAAAGAAUCUGUUUUUGGCUUUCAAGCAGUAAAGUGAAAAUAAACAUUUAUUCAUUUACAUUACACCAUACAUACACUACCUAGAAAUCUCUUACUUUUCUCUAAUUUCCACUGCAACAGUAUUCAGAAGAGCUGCUAACAAUCCAAGUAACUGUUAUCUGACUUAUAGCUGACAUAGUCUUUAACUGACUUAUAGCUUUUAUCUGACAUCGUGGUAAUUACAGUAGGCAGUAUUAGCUGAAUGCCACAUUCAAAACAAUGAAGCAGUAUUUUUGUGCCAUAAUUCACACGUUUUAUCAUACUGAUGAUGAACAUCAACAUAUUGAGUGGUAUAUAUUUCACAGGGGGUCUGUGGCACCUUAAUUGGUAAGGACAGGCUUGUGGUAAUGGCUGGAGCAGAAUAAGUGGAAUGGUAUCAAAUACAUCAAUCACAUUUAUUUAUGAAGCCCUUCUUACAUCAGCCGAUGUCACAAAGUGCUAGACAGAAACCCAGCCUAAAACCCCAAACAGCAAGCAAUGCAGAUGUAGAAGCAC